rnacentral:misc_RNA from 1 species
AUCGAGGAUUUGCAGUGGCUUCAAGAACUCGGGCACUGAUUCUCUUAGGGUUGUUGAGACGAAGGGCACCGGCUCAGGAGUUGCUUUUUUCCUCCAUUUUUCGGUUCAUGCUGUGAAGAAAGAUGAGAACGAAAUUGAAGACCUGAGAAUCCUUCCUGUCCAUUAUUCCGAUAACUACUUCUCACUUGUUCCUGGUGAGACGAUGAACAUUUCGAUCUCGUUCGACGUGCCUCAAGGUGUGACUCCUCGUGUCGCUCUUCGUGGAUGGAAUUUGGAGGAGCAUUAUUCCGUCCUCUGAGGUGCAAGCAUCUCUCUGAUCAAGCUCUAUGCAUGGUGGUGAAAGAAUGGCUCCUGUGGCGACAUUUGGUGUUGGAGGUGUAUGAGUUCAUUGAGGUCUAGUCUGCCUUAAAUAAAAAAAG